AUUGAACGCUGGCGGCAGGCCUAACACAUGCAAGUCGAACGAGUGGCGGACGGGUGAGUAAUGUCUGGGAAACUGCCCGAUGGAGGGGGAUAACUACUGGAAACGGUGGCUAAUACCGCAUACCAUCGGAUGUGCCCAGAUGGGAUUAGCUAGUAGGUGGGGUAACGGCUCACCUAGGCGACGAUCGCUAGCUGGUCUGAGAGGAUGACCAGCCACACUGGAACUGAGACACGGUCCAGACGCCUGCGGGAGGCAGCAGUGGGGAAUAGUGCACAAUGGGCGCAAGCCUGAUGCAGCCAUGCCGCGUGUAUGAAGAAGGCCUUAGGGUUGUAAAGUACUUUCAGCGAGGAGGCGUUACUCGCAGAAGAAGCACCGGCUAACUCCGUGCCAGCAGCCGCGGUAAUAC
rnacentral:rRNA from 1 species